AGUGAACGCUGGCGGUAGGCCUAACACAUGCAAGUCGAACGGCAGCACAGUAAGAGCUUGCUCUUACGGGUGGCGAGUGGCGGACGGGUGAGGAAUACAUCGGAAUCUACUUUUACGUGGGGGAUAACGUAGGGAAACUUACGCUAAUACCGCAUACGACCUACGGGUGAAAGCAGCGGAUCUUCGGACCUUGCGCGACUGAAUGAGCCGAUGUCGGAUUAGCUAGUUGGCGGGGUAAAGGCCCACCAAGGCGACGAUCCGUAGCUGGUCUGAGAGGAUGAUCAGCCACACUGGAACUGAGACACGGUCCAGACUCCUACGGGAGGCAGCAGUGUAGAAUAUUGGACAAUUGGCGCAAGUCUGUUCCAGCCAUACCGCGUGAGUUAAGAAGGCCUUCGGGUUGUAAAGCCCUUUUGUUGGGAAAGAAAGGCAGCAGGUUAAUACCCCGCUGUUCUGACGGUACUCAACGAAUAAGCGCCGGCUAACUUCGUG
rnacentral:rRNA from 1 species